UACGUAGGGCGCAAGCGUUUGUCCGGAAUUAUUGGGCGUAAAGAGCUCGUAGGCGGCUUGUUGCGUCGGUUGUGAAAGCCCGGGGCUUAACCCCGGGUCUGCAGUCGAUACGGGCAGGCUAGAGUGUGGUAGGGGAGAUCGGAAUUCCUGGUGUAGCGGUGAAAUGCGCAGAUAUCAGGAGGAACACCGGUGGCGAAGGCGGAUCUCUGGGCCAUUACUGACGCUGAGGAGCGAAAGCGUGGGGAGCGAACAGG
rnacentral:rRNA from 1 species